CUGAUGAUCCUCCUGUUAGAAUUAUUGCCAUCGACAGUAUCCAGGUACCCAAGCAAGGACAGGAAUAAUGAAGAGACACGUGUGUUAGUUGCAACCUUCUGAACCAAGCAAGAAGGAAAUCAACAGUGUGGACAGGGCUGGAACCGUUGGCACGCUUGCUUGUUGGAGUGAAUGAGGAAUGGGCUUGU
rnacentral:lncRNA from 1 species